AUCAUGGCUCAGAACGAACGCUGCGGCAUGCCUAACACAUGCAAGUCGAACGAGACCUUCGGGUCUAGUGGCGCACGGGUGCGUAACGCGUGGGAACCUGCCUUUAGGUUCGGAAUAACUCAGAGAAAUUUGAGCUAAUACCGGAUAAUGUCUUCGGACCAAAGAUUUAUCGCCUUUAGAUGGGCCCGCGUUGGAUUAGCUAGUUGGUGGGUAAAGGCCUCCAAGGCGACGAUCCAUAGCUGGUCUGAGAGGAUGAUCAGCCACACUGGGACUGAGACACGGCCCAGACUCCUACGGGAGGCAGCAGUGGGGAAUAUUGGACAAUGGGCGAAAGCCUGAUCCAGCAAUGCCGCGUGAGUGAUGAAGGCCUUAGGGUUGUAAAGCUCUUUUACCCGAGAUGAUAAUGACAGUAUCGGGAGAAUAAGCUCCGGCUAACUCCGUG
rnacentral:rRNA from 1 species